UACGUAGGGGGCAAGCGUUGUCCGGAUUUAUUGGGCGUAAAGCGCGUGUAGGCGGCCCGGUAAGUCCGCUGUGAAAGUCCAGGGCUCAACCCUGGAAUGCCGGUGGAAACUGUCGGGCUAGAGUCCGGAAGAGGCGAGUGGAAUUCCUGGUGUAGCGGUGAAAUGCGCAGAUAUCAGGAGGAACACCAAUGGCGAAGGCAGCUCGCUGGGACGGUACUGACGCUGAGACGCGAAAGCGUGGGGAGCAAACAGG
rnacentral:rRNA from 1 species